rnacentral:rRNA from 1 species
UACAGAGGUCUCAAGCGUUGUUCGGAUUCAUUGGGCGUAAAGGGUGCGUAGGCGGCGCGGUAAGUCGGAUGUGAAAUCUCGGGGCUUAACUCCGAAACUGCAUUCGAUACUGCCGUGCUUGAGGACUGGAGAGGAGACUGGAAUUUACGGUGUAGCGGUGAAAUGCGUAGAUAUUCGCAAGAACACCAGUGGCGAAGGCGGCUCACUGGCCCGAUACUGACGCUGAGGCACGAAAGCGUGGGGAGCAAACAGG